GCCCGCGGUGGCUCAGAUGGAUAGAGCGUCUGCCAUGUAAGCAGGAGAUCCUGGGUUCGAGUCCCGGUCGGGGCA
rnacentral:tRNA from 1 species